UACGAAGGGGGCUAGCGUUGCUCGGAAUCGCUGGGCGUAAAGCGCACGUAGGCGGCUUUCUAAGUCAGGGGUGAAAUCCUGGAGCUCAACUCCAGAACUGCCUUUGAUACUGGAGAGCUAGAGUCCGGAAGAGGUGAGUGGAACUGCGAGUGUAGAGGUGAAAUUCGUAGAUAUUCGCAAGAACACCAGUGGCGAAGGCGGCUCACUGGUCCGGUACUGACGCUGAGGUGCGAAAGCGUGGGGAGCAAACAGG
rnacentral:rRNA from 1 species